UAUAAGCUUGAGCAAGCGCAGGUUUUUUUCAACUCGGACGUUGGAUUGCCGAGGGGGGACUGGAUUAAAACAGUUUGUGGUAAUCUUCAACACACAUGAGAAAACAUAAGAUUUUUAAAGUUUUUUGCUUCCUUACACGAACGCUAUGUCUAUGAUGCAAGAAUUAGUUAUUCCCAUUUUGACGGUGACGUCUCUGUUGACGAGCACGUCCCUUGCUUAAGCUCAUUACGAUAAAAAUUUUCUACGUAAAUAGGAUAGUGACAAAAAAGUUAAUUAUCUAUUAUUUGACGGACGCGUGUUCCAGUUCCCACUUCCACAAAAUAGAGGAUAUCAUUCUUGAAAUCUUCCCAGUUACAGUCUAAACAGCCCUCUGAGCCACUCUAGCGAAGUUUCUCUAGUUGUUACAUGUAUUUCUCCUUGGAAUACCAGAACUACAAUCUUAUUUCUACGAGAACCAGACCAGAAACGUAAGGAAAUAUGAUCACCAUAGCACGUAAUCGCGAAAUCCUUACGACACGAUUCUCCGACCUGUGUGACAAUUAGACGUGCCUUCUGCAUCACACGUCUGCAAUUCACACAGUUUUUUGGGCAAUGCGCAGAGUAACUGUUUAUAUCUUUAUGGGUUACUGCUGGACUACAUUCGAUUUCUUCUGUUUUACGUAACUAAUAACACAAUAAAAAUUUUCUUUAGUAAAGUGAAGUGUGUCAUGCGCUAUAUUAAUUGCCCCGGCCCUCCCGAAUAAGCUCCCUUUCUGUGUAAUGAAGGAAAAGUUGCCCACAUGCAAUUCACCAAAGUGGUCAUAACACUGUUUAUAGCCGAUUUAUAGUUAAGAUACCGCUCUUUCUGUCCUUUCUUGGGUUCAGGUGGUAAGGGGG